GGAUAGAAUUCCUCAACCUUGCCCUACCCUACAUGAUCUCAUACUACUCCAAUAAUGACCCCCCAACCCACCCCAUCACAUCCCCUACUGAACUUCUCUUUUUUAGUUACAAUAUAUAACCUUAAAUCUCUCGAAUUUAACAGUUUACAUCAAAUACUUUUGAGUUUUUGAAAACAUUUCUUGGUUCUUCCUUCAGAAGAUUGUAAUCACCUUAGGUCUUGCAUGUGGAUAAGAUGUGUGGAUGGUGUAGCCAAGGAUGACUUGCCGACGAGCUCGUCAAAGGUUUAUAUGAAAAAUGUUGGGAGCCCAUAGAAUUAUGGGACAAUAUUCUAGGGGUGUCUUUUCGGAGAGUUAUCUUUGGCUACAUUUCAAUCUCAUAUUCACAUGUCAGUUCUACGAUGAUUGCGAGAAACGAGUACUACCAAGGCUAAAGGAUCACAUUUUCAUACUGCAAAUGAAGGACAAAAGGCACAUUGAAUUCAAAACCCUGAUAUAUGCAGCCACCAUAGGUCUCAAAAAGGGUUAGAUUUAUUCAGGUAAGGUAUGUUUCAUAUGCAGCAUUAGAAACAAUAUAAUUGAUAAGAUUUAACUUCUUUUCCUUUUUAAUAUUGUUCACCAUUAGACUAACAAUCUACUUUACCAAAUCAACCAGGUAUGCUUGUUUGAUAAUCUUGUCAAAUAGUGUUACUUUGCUGCUAAACAGAAAUUGAUUUGCUACAUUUAUGGACUUUAUCGACUAGUGUAUGUAUUAAGUUGUGAAAUUUAAUUAUUGCUCUAAUUUUUCUGUAAGUUGUGAGUCGUUAUGAGGGUUUAUCUAGUUAUAAUGGAGAAAAUAGGUUUUGAGGUUUUUUCCCUUGUAAAAUUCUUUUAUCAUAGUGAAAUACUGUAAUGACAAAUAUUGAGCUAAUCUCAUAUUGAGGCAAACAUAUAUAAAACUUACAUAUUCUUUUGUCUUUUUCCU